UACGAAGGGGGCGAGCGUUGUUCGGAAUUACUGGGCGUAAAGGGCGCAUAGGCGGCCGAUCAAGUCAGAUGUGAAAGUCCUGGGCUUAACCUGGGGACUGCAUUUGAUACUGAUUGGCUUGAAUUCGGGAGAGGAUAGCGGAAUUCCCAGUGUAGAGGUGAAAUUCGUAGAUAUUGGGAAGAACACCGGUGGCGAAGGCGGCUAUCUGGACCGACAUUGACGCUGAGGCGCGAAAGCGUGGGGAGCAAACAGG
rnacentral:rRNA from 1 species